ACCCUUCCACCCAAGGGGAGAUACAGUGAUCACGAAGGUGGUUUUCCCAGGGCCAGGCUUAUCCAUUGCAUUCCGGAUGUGCUGACCCCUGAGAUUUCCCCAAAUGUGGGAAACUCGACUGCAUAAUUUGUGGUAGUGGGGGACUGCAUUCGCGCUUUCCCCUG
ensembl:snRNA U1 U1 spliceosomal RNA